AUGUAGUUCAAUCUGGCUUUAGGCAGGGAUAAAUUACCUUAAAAAAAAGAAUACUAACUAGUUUUCCCUUUGAGUCAAGCAUCUUGU
rnacentral:pre_miRNA from 1 species